AGCGAACGCUGGCGGCAGGCCUAACGCAUGCAAGUCGAACGAACUCUUCGGAGUUAGUGGCGGACGGGUGAGUAACACGUGGGAACGUGCCUUUAGGUUCGGAAUAACUCAGGGAAACUUGUGCUAAUACCGAAUGUGCCCUUCGGGGAAGGCUUUAUCGCCUUUAGAGCGGCCCGCGUCUGAUUAGCUAGUUGGUGGUGUACUGGACCACCAAGGCGACGAUCAGUAGCUGGUCUGAGAGGAUGAUCAGCCACAUUGGGAGUGAGACACGUCCCAAACUCCUACGGGAGGCAACAUUGGGGAAUCUUGCGCAAUGGGCGAAAGCCUGACGCAGCCAUGCGGCGUGAAUGAUGAAGGUCUUAGGAUUGUAAAAUUCUUUCACCGGGGACGAUAAUGACGGUACCCGUAGAAGAAGCCCCGGCUAACUUCGUGCCAGCCGCCGCCGUAACAC
rnacentral:rRNA from 1 species